AUCGCGAGAUCUCAUGAAGGCCGUUGCAGUCAGAAGACGGUCGUCAGCCAUGUUGGUGAGGUUUUCCACAAAGUUUGGAAAUUUUCUUAAAAUAUAAAUUUGCACACAGGUUCUGAGCAGGAAUUCAUCAAGGACAUGACUGUUGGAAUUACAGUUGUGGGUGACUGAACCGAGCAUCAUCAAUCUGCAGCGAUGUGGUCCAGGAACAGCAAGCGCUACAUGAUGCCAUGCAGUGUGUAGGCUACCAUGACAGGAUCGUCCGAGAUGAUAUUUUACAGUGGAUUGCUCAGGAACUACAGUUAUCAGGUGAGAUGUAGCACGUAUAGGUAGCCUACCUAUUGUUAGCUAUAGCUAUUACUAGCUAUAUUAUAAUUCACACACAGGGUGACCAGACGUCCCGCUUCCCAGUGCUGAAAGAUCCUGUAUGUGUAGCAAACAACAGUUAUGUCUCGUAUCAAUAUUAUUGAGUUAUGAGAGAGAGAGAGAGAGAGAACGUUUUAUUUAAAUGUAGUACAUAACGGCUAUAUUAUACAACUGCCCUUUUCUCAACUCAAUUCAAUACAUGUUACAUCAGGGAAAUUCAAGUGAUUGCUUCGGAAUUCGGCAGGUCUUAAAAUCGUGACGUAUAUCACUGCGUCCGUACGAUUUUCAGAUAAACUCACUCGUAUGGUGUGCAUGUAAGACUUUAAGAUUAAGAUUUUAUGAUUAUUUAUCAAAAGAAAGUAAUUUGUAUAUCUAAUUAUCUACCAUAUGGGGGAAUGAGCGGAUAGUUGAAUUUUUCAUUUUAUUAAGAAGUUCUGAUUGUUUUUAAUGUUCUCAUGUUUUUUUUAAAUAUUAACUUAAAAUGAACACAUCUUGUAUUUUAGGGAAAGGGGUCUUAAAAGUAGUGAAACCUACAUAGUAAAAGCACUAAUACAAUUUAACAUAAACCAAAUAUGGCUUUUAAAUUCAUUAUGGGAAUCAUUAUGGGAAUAUCCUGAAGAGAAAACAUUGGGACAUUUGUUUUGUUUUUACUUGUGGUGUAUAACAUGCUUGGCAGCUCUUUCUUUGGUACAGAGCGAACGCAAUGAUAAACAGCAAGAUAAGGUGAUCUUUGUAGGUGCAAUGAACACUGGUUCUCUUCUGAAAGAUCUCUUCAAAACAAUGGACAAUAUUAUUAGAAUUACGCUUUCAAAAAUGUGUGAAAUUGUAUUCUUGAUUAAAAGAAAAAAAAGGCAUUAUGGGGAUGAAUUAAAUAUACCAUUUUUUAAGGUAUCGUUUUGUUCUGAUAAAAGUUAGUUGACAGUUUAAAAAGGUUAAAGUGUACACCUGGUCCGCUAGUUAUUGAAAAUGGUGAGAUUAUGUCUUGUAAUGACAGAUGCUUAUCAGGCAAGUUUCCCUGUUACAUUUUAGUGUGGUCAUCAGAUUUUGAGAAAGGUUGGAUCAGCCGUGGUCUAGGGUUCUAUUAUGGGUGUGGCUCUGUAAUAACAGCCAAACAUGUCAUAGAACAUCACAAAAAUGACAAUAUAUAUGUCCUUUUCCCAACUCAUGAAUAUUGCUUAAUAUAUAAUGUCCAGAAAAUCAUCCCAGAAAAUCUUCCUAACCACGAUAUUGCUUCAAUUAAAUUGCACGGAUGUUUAGAUCCAUUACAAAACAUGAAACUAGAAAUAGGCCAGUUAUGUGAAAAUAGGGAGCUAUAUUUUAAUGUAUUAGAGUCAGGGUGUUUCGUAAGAAAAUACUGUCAAAUUGAAAUCCCCAAUACAAAUAUGAAAAACCAAAUGUCAGCAAAUGAAUUUGUUAUAUCUAAAGCAGGCAAAGAAGGAGAGAGUGGAACGCCUAUUUUUUUUUUCAAGCUCUGGCAUUUGUGUUGGAUUAUAUAUUGGUGUUUUCACUGCAGAAAACUCAUUAAACCCAGUGGAAUAUGGCAGAGCUUUACAAUUUGAAAAGCUACUAUUCUAAUAACAUUUAUUUUAUAUAUUAAAAUGUUUAAUCACUCUUUUUCUGUGAUUAAUAGCAUUUAUCUUGUUUAAUUUUGCUGUAUAUAGCAAAUUACAAAAUAAACCAAAAAAUUGAAGGGUGAUUCUCACAAAAAUACAGGAUUUCCGUGAGACAUGCGUGUCACGUUCUUUAACGUUCCUCCUGAAAACAAAGAUGCCCUGAUGCCAAACCCCCUCACCAAAGGAGAAAACCGUCAUUAUGUUAUUAUCGUUGGAUAGGGCGUUGGACAGAUUGAGAAACACUUCAAAACAUGUACAAACAUUUGUCAGUGAGGGAGCUUUAACAUAAUUGGCAUGGUUGUACUUCUCCUAAUAUUGUCCAUUGUGUGGCAACUACCCGAAGAGAGAUCUCACGUCAUGCCCACAAGAAAACCCUGAAGGAACAGGAUGAAAUCGAUCCACACUCUGACCUGUGAUGCAGCCUGGAAAUAAACCACACCAUGCUGAUUUUGUCUGGCCAGAGGAGAGCUGGCCCCCCGACUGAGCCUGGGUUCUCCCAAGGUUUUUUUCUCCAUUUCUGUCACCGAUGGAGUUUUGGUUCCUUGCCACUGUCGCCUUUUGGCUUACUUAGUUGGGGACAACUAAAAUUUGUCAACUUUAUUGACUUGACUGUACAGAUGCUAUUGGAUGAGAACUAAACUGAGCUGCAUGAAGACAAUCACUGUACUGUAAAAUAAAUAAAUGUAAAAAAAAAAAGGCAGACGGAAAUGUAUGUAAAAUUACUGGAUAAUGAACAAACAGGAAUUUCUUUGUCUCUCUCACCCUUAAUAAAAGGAAGUAAUUUAGCUAGACUUGUGCAAUCCCCACCUACGUGCUACAUGAAAUUUAGUUUCUUCUAAAUCACUCCCAAAGAAAGAAGAUUCUGUCUCAUCUGCUUUUUGUCAUCUAUUUCUCAUCUGAUUUCCAAUAAUAUCUCGACUUGAUUGCACAGAUACUAUUUGAACUGAACUGAGCUGGGCGAUGACAUGACUGAAUCAAUGAUGAACUGACUUUAACUGAAAAUUGAGCGUUUACUAUUGUCCUUUUGCAUUAUCAAAACACUAUUUUCCUAUUUGAUACUGUAAAGCUGCUUUGACACAAUCUGUAUUGUUAAAAACGCCAUAUAAAUAAAGGUGACUUGACUUGACUUUCUUAAUUCAUGUGAAUCGAAGCAUUCAGCUGCUUUUGUAGCUUCAACUUGUGAAAACACAUUAAAAAAGACUUCUCAUUAAUAACAUUUAAAUGAAUAACACUUAAAUGAAAUCAUUUAAUUUAGUCAAACAGGUUUACAUAUAAUAAAUAAAAACUUUAAGAUUAGGAUUUUAUGAUUAUUUAUCAGAAGAAAGUCCUUUUUAUAGCUAAUUAUCAACCAUAUGGGGGAAGAGCGGACAGUUGAAUUUUUCAUUUUAUUAAGAAGUUCUGAUAGUUUUUAAUGUUCUAAUGAUUUUUUAAAUAUUAAAACUUAAAAUGAACACAUCAUCUUGUAUUUUAGGGAAACGGGUCUUAAAACUAGUGAAACCUAAAUUAAUUAACCACAACAUUUAAUAAAUAGUCAAAGCACUAAUACAAUUUAACAUAAACCAAAUAUGGCUUUUAAAUUCAUUAUGGGAAUCAUUAUGGGAAUAUCCUGAAGGGAAAACAUUGGGACAUUUGUUUUGUUUUUACUUGUGGUGUAUAACAUGCUUGGCAGCUCUUUCUUUGGUACAGAGCGAACGCAAUGAUAAACAGCAAGAUAAGGUGAGUUAUUGAAAAACUUAAAUUUCACUAUAUUGAAGAAGUGUGUUGGUUUCCAGUAAGUAAUCAGGAAUCAUGGCAUCACCACACUAUUAAACUACUAAGUUUCACUUUACCUUUGUCCUUCUAAAGCUAAAUGAUUUAUUAUAUUAAAGCACACCUCCUCGUGUUCACACCUCAAUAAGUAUAAGUUUCACUUUUACUCUGAAAGAAACUUCCAUGUACAUUACAACCCAUGAGUAAUGAUUGGUUCAAAUCCUCUAUAAAUCACCACGACGUCCAGGUGAUCUUUGUAGGUGCAAUGAACACUGGUUCUCUUCUAAAAGGUAUGGUUUAAAAUAUAUUACAUUUGAAAAAUAUUUAUUUUGUCUAGUGAUUUCAACAGUAACUUAAUUGUUUUAAUCCAUAAGAUUGAACAAACAUAGAAAGCUAAAUGAUGAUAAUGUACAUUGAGUGCUCUUUGUAAUUUCAAACACGGUUCUAUUAGUUGUUGUUUAGGAACAAUCAUUAGUGACCAGAUGACUGUCAUGAAUCCGGUCUAUGAACUUCCAUUCACUUACCACCAGAGGUCACUCGCUCACCACAUUGACUCUCACACCAUACAUCACACUGGACUGCAUUUCCCAUCAUCCAUUGCACUUAUGACACAUACACAGCUGAUUACACUGAUUGCACUGUUCACACUGCUGAUUGCACUGAUCACACACCCUACAUAAGCCAUGGACUUUCUCUCCCUCACUGCCGAGUAUUGUAUGCGCUUAUCGCUCCCCUAGCUUUAGCUACUCUACAGAGCCCUUGUUAGUUAUCCUAGUCUUGCCUUGCCUUGCCUGGCCUGUUUUCAUGUGUUCGUAUUCUAGCCCGUGUUCCCUGGAUUAACCCUUGCCCUGUCGUUUGGAUACUGUUUGCCCCAGCCCGGACCAUUGCUUUGUUUACUGAUUACCUCUUUUGUCUUAGCCCUCUGGAUAUUGUUAGCCCACGAUCGAACUCGCCUGUUUUGGAUACUUCUCUUGCCUUGCCCUCUGUAUACCUGUUUGCCAUUGUUUGACCCUGCCUGUUAUUAGCUCGUCUCUGUCUUUUAAAUAAAGCUUGCACAUGGAUCUGCACGUCUCACGUCUCGUCAGCCCCGUUACAGAAUACUCGGCCACACGAGGAUCCAGCGGCUUUUCUAAGGAACCCUGGCCAGGUAUGUAUCCAUUCAACCAGCUGCUCGACCUGAGACAAGGGAGUUCAUCUAUUGAGGAGUACGUCACUCAAUUCUGUGAGAUAUCUUACAGGGUAACCUUUGAUGAGGUCAAAGGUUUUGGAUUAACUGAGCCCAUUAAGUCAUGUUUACCCGAAGGGAAGUUCAAUUGUAGUUUAAACGACUUUAUGGACUAUGCUUUGCUGUGUGCUGACUCUUUGUUUACUGCAUCUGUUACUAAAAUGGCAGCGACACCGAAGCCCGUUCACAAAAUGGCGGCCACAACAACACCCCGUCAUGUCUUGCUCUGCCACGGCCACGGAGGCAGUCUGUGAUUCCUCGUCUUGUCCUGUUUCGGCCAAGGAGACCGACUACGAAUCCUUGUCCUGUCGCAGCCAAAAGGGCUGACCCUGAACUCCCAUCCUGUCCUGUCACGGCUAUGGAGGCCAUCUGUGAACUCUUUGCCUGUCCUGUCGCAGCCAGAGGGGCUGUCCCUGAACUCUCGUCCUGUCCAGUCACGGCUAUGGAGGCCAUCUGUGAACUCUCACCCCGUUCUGAACCAGCCAUGGUGGCUGAUUGUGAACUGUCUGCUUUGCCUGUCUCAGUCAAGGAAUCUAACCCUGAACUGUCUGUCUUGAGGCCAGAAACUAUAAAUGCAGCCCAUAUCUGUCCCAGUAACCCUAUCACUGCCUUAAAAGCCUCAAUUGAACAUUCUGUAUGCUCGGUUAACCCUGUCAUUGCCAAACAGUCCAUUCUUGAACAGUCUGUCUGUCCCCUUCCAGCCAAUGCAUUUCAUUUAUAAACCGUCUGUCUAUCCAGCUUCAAACACUGAACGAUCUGCCAAUCCCAUUCCCACCAAUGCUCUUAGCUAUGGAUUGUUUGCCUGCUCCGUUGUCACCAGGAAAAAUAUUGAUAGACUUCCCAUGUUCCCUACCUCGGUCCUUGGGUCUGUGCAUGCUCCUUCUCUUUCUUGUGUCUCAGUUUUCCCUAGGUCCCAGUCUCUGCUGUGGGUUCCUGAUCCGUCAGGGUGUUCUCCUGAUCCGUCGUGGAGGUCUAUUGCUCAGGUCUGGUGGUCUUCUGCUCCGCCGUGGAGAUCUUCUGCUCCGCCGUGGAGAUCUUCUGCCCUGCCGCGGAGAUCUUCUGCCCUGUCUACUCCACCGUGGAGGUCUUCUGCCCUGUCUGCUCUGCUCCGCUCCGCCCUGGUGGGCUCCAGUCCCGUCUGCUCUGCCCUGGUGUCGUAUGUUGGUCUGGAACUGAGGAAAUCUAUAUCAAGAUGAUGCAGGAAUGGUCUUGACAGCAUUGAAUGACCUUCACACUGCAUACGGCACUUUUGGGUUAAGUUACAUUCAGACGACCUCUCUUCAUUAAAUUACAUACCAUACCUGCUGUAAAGCAAGAAAAGCAACAAUUGUACUUUUAAGCAAUGCCAGGAGAGCAAGUGUGUCUUGACCAAUGGAAUAAACCAUAACACUCCCUGCACCUCAGUGCAUCGCUUGGCAUCAUGAGAUCAUCACUUUUGAGUCAAGUCACUACACAAACUGAUAACCUCUCCUUGAAUAACAUAAAUUUUUGUUUUGUUUUCCCAAUUGAUUAAAUUAUGAACACUGCAAUGUGUUUGCUUUUUUCUCCCUAUUUAAUAAUGGCCUCCCAACAGAGAACAUUUUAAAAGGCAAUAUAGUGAAAACUUUAUUGCAUAUCAUAAUCCAGGCAAGCUGUAACAGUUUUACACCAAAGUAUGAGAGACACAGUGCCAAAAAAUUAGGUAGAAUUACAGACAAUGAACAAAACAUGUUUCAACUUAUUUCAGCACAACAAAUGCCGACCAUGUCCUGAACAGUGGAAAAAAAAGUUUCUUGGACAACUGUCUAUUUUUUCUUUUUUUUUUUAUCACUAUA